rnacentral:misc_RNA from 1 species
GUGAGUCAUCGAAUCUUUGAACGCACAUUGCGCCCGCCAGUAUUCUGGCGGGCAUGCCUGUUCGAGCGUCAUUUCAACCAUCAAGCCCCCGGCUUGUGUUGGGGACCUGCGGCUGCCGCAGGCCCUGAAAACCAGUGGCGGGCUCGCUGUCACCCCGAGCGUAGUAGUUACAUCUCGCUCUGGGCGUGCUGCGGGUUCCGGCCGUUAAAAGCCUUAUUUACCCAAGGUUGACCUCGGAUCAGGUAGGAAGACCCGCUGAACUUAAGCAUAUCAAUAAGCGGAGGA